rnacentral:rRNA from 1 species
UACAGAGGAUGCAAGCGUUAUCCGGAAUGAUUGGGCGUAAAGCGUCUGUAGGUGGCUUUUUAAGUCCGCCGUCAAAUCCCAGGGCUCAACUCUGGACAGGCGGUGGAAACUACCAAGCUGGAGUACGGUAGGGGCAGAGGGAAUUUCCGGUGGAGCGGUGAAAUUCGUAGAUAUCGAGAGGAACACCGGUGGCGAAGGCGGCCAACUGGACGAGUACUGACGCUGAGACACGAAAGCGUGGGGAGCAAACAGG